UAGGGAAUAUUGGUCAAUGGGCGGAAGCCUGAACCAGCCAUGCCGCGUGCAGGAAGACGGCCUUCUGGGUUGUAAACUGCUUUUAUCAGGGAACAAAUAGCUCCUGCGGGAGAAGUUGAGUGUACCUGAGGAAUAAGCACCGGCUAACUCCGUGCCAGCAGCCGCGGUAAUACGGAGGGGGCAAGCGUUGUUCGGAAUUACUGGGCGUAAAGGGCGCGUAGGCGGUCUGUCGCGUCAGGUGUGAAAGCCCCGGGCUCAACCUGGGAGGUGCACUUGAUACGGGCGGACUGGAAUCCGGGAGAGGAUGGUGGAAUUCCCAGUGUAGAGGUGAAAUUCGUAGAUAUUGGGAAGAACACCGAUGGCGAAGGCAGCCAUCUGGCCCGGGAUUGACGCUGAGGCGCGAAAGCGUGGGGAGCAAACAGGAUUAGAUACCCCCGUAGUCC
rnacentral:rRNA from 1 species